GAAGAAGUGAAAGGUCAGUUUGUCUGAGAGAAGAACGUAGAACCUCUGUGCUAUUGGAUAGCAGAAGGACUGAAGGAGCCCACCAGGUUCACUGAACAAAGUCUAUUGAAUGACACAUUUCUAAGGAAUGUAGCCAUUUAAGGCUGUGAAGAAAGAAGAGAGGUGGAAGAGAGCAAGAAACAAUUCAGCUAGUAAAACUGGAAUUGAGUUGGAAAACACAUACUGAAAGAAAUUAUCCUGUUUGACUAAUUGUCCCUGCUGAUUAAUUUUCAAAUUCACAUGUUGCUAUUCUUGGUAACUUUUGGCAAAUUUAGCUGACUAUAAUUCUGUUAUGCUUAAGAGCUCUGGAAGUUGCAAUAAAGAACUAAAAAAAUUGUUAGUAUUUGAAACUUUCAUAAUUAAAACCAUCAAUAUUUAAUAAAGGGCAUUGAAGUGA